UACGUAGGGGGCGAGCGUUGUCCGGAAUUACUGGGCGUAAAGCGCAUGUAGGCGGGCGACUAAGUCAGGGGUGAAAACCGUGGGCUCAACCUACGGCUUGCCCUUGAUACUGGUCGUCUUGAGUACAGGAGAGGGAAGCGGAAUUCCCGGUGUAGCGGUGAAAUGCGCAGAUAUCGGGAGGAACACCAGUGGCGAAGGCGGCUUCCUGGCCUGUUACUGACGCUGAGAUGCGAAAGCGUGGGGAGCGAACGGG
rnacentral:rRNA from 1 species